UACGGAGGGUGCGAGCGUUGUCCGGAAUCACUGGGCGUAAAGGGCGCGUAGGCGGCCUGAUAAGUAGGGGGUGAAAUCCUGCGGCUUAACCGCAGGGCUGCCUUCUAAACUGUCAGGCUCGAGCACAGUAGAGGCAGGUGGAAUUCCCGGUGUAGCGGUGAAAUGCGUAGAGAUCGGGAAGAACAUCGGUGGCGAAAGCGCUCUACUGGACCGCAACUGACACUCAGGGACGAAAGCUAGGGGAGCGAAUGGG
rnacentral:rRNA from 1 species